rnacentral:lncRNA from 1 species
UAUUAUGAUUAUAUGAUGACUCAUUAUCACGAAGACAAUCUUGUGCCAUUUAAAUCAGCAGGAUUCCAUUUCUUCACCAGAGAACUAUCUCUAAAUACACACACGCAUGCUCACACACUUCUGAGUUUCCCUUUGUUUAUUUUUGCAGCCAACAAAGUAUGUUUUCGAGGUUAACAACGAAGCACAGGAUAGUACAAGUGGAAGAUCAUUAACAUGACUGGAUAGGAACCUCUUUUAAUUUCCCUUUCUUGGCUUUUUCCACACCCUAGGUGGAUUACACUCACCCUGACACACCUAGAAAAGAUAGCAAGGACCAAAGUUGGGAUGAGACUCAAAUAUGCCCUUUCAGAUGUGCUUAUAAAAACAAGUCAGUGUUCACAUUUACUGUAUUAAUAGGAAUGUCUUUCAGGGGGAGUUUACAGAAAAAAAAAAUAAACCGAAUUAAGUUAUGAUGACUAUAUUUUCCAUUGUUUUCAUUUCCUUAAAAAAGGAAAGGCUGUUGAACUUGUGAGUUCUGCAGUCUAUGGUUUUGAAGCUAAGUUAUUACACACAAGCUACCUUGUGUGAACAUGGAAAGACCUUGAUAUAUUACUUCUUUGUUACAAUCAGCAGUAAGUGCCACUUAGCAUGUCUGGCUACUUACAGAGUGAAAUAAUUGCUUAGGAACCUAGAACUGCUUAUUUAAAGGGUGGGAACUCAAUAUUUAAUUACUGAACCAAAAAGCACCUCAGCUUUACUGUGGGAAAUCUCAUGCAAUGCACUGUUAGCCUUCAGGUGGUU